GUCGUAGACGUCCAGGUGCGCAGGCAGGACUUACUUCCACUCUUAAUGGGGCGGUCGCAGGUUCGAGUCCUGCCUUCGGCA
rnacentral:tRNA from 1 species